CCCUAUGGGGUGCAGCAGGCGCGAAACCUUUACAAUGCACGAAAGUGUGAUAAGGGAACCCAAAGUGCUUAGCUUAGCUAAGCUUUUACCAAGAGUAAAUAUCUUGGAGAAUAAGUGGUGGGCAAGACUGGUGCCAGCCGCCGCGGUAAUACCAGCGCCACGAGUGGGAACUACAAUUAUUGGGCCUAAAGCGUCCGUAGCCUGUUUGAUAAAUUUCUUGUGAAAUUGUUAAGUUCAACUUAACAUCGUGCAGGAAACACUGUCAGACUAGGGACUGGGAGGAGUUAGAAGUAUCUUUGGGGUAGCGGUAAAAUGUUAUAAUCCUAAAGAGACUACCUAUGGCGAAAGCAUCUAACUAGAACAGGUCCGACGGUGAGGGACGAAAGCUAGGGGAGCAAACCGGAUUAGAUACCCGAGUAGUCCUAGCCAUAAACGCUGCGAGCAAGAUGUUGCGUAUUCUUCGUGAAUAUGCAGUAUCGAAGAGAAGUCGUUAAGCUCGCCGCCUGGGAAGUAUGGUCGCAAGACUGAAACUUAAAGGAAUUGGCGGGGGAGCACUACAAGGGGUGCGGCGUGCGGUUUAAUCUAACUCAACGCAGAGAAUCUCACCAGAAGCGACGGCAGAAUGAAAGUCAGAUUAAAGGUUUUACUUGACGAGCCGAGAGGAAGUGCAUGGCC
rnacentral:rRNA from 1 species